rnacentral:lncRNA from 1 species
GAUUUUCCUAAGAAAGUUUCACAAGAGUUGAGAUGAAUGAAUCAAGUAGAAAGUGGGAGGAAGCAUGCUUCAAGCCAAGGUAACAUUGUGCAAAGGAUGAGAGGCAGGCAGGGGACAGAGGGUCCAGAAUGGUUGGACUGGAGACUACAGGGAUAUGGCAGGAUGGGGGAGUGGGGCAAAGGGACUGGGUCAGGUGGGACUCAAAAAGCCAUCAGGGCCACUAGUUCCUUGUGGACCAUUUUAUAAAUUUUUAGGGAUUUUGAAGGAUUUAGACUUUAUCAUAAAGCCAGUGGAAGCCAAUGAAGGAUUUAAGCACGAGAGUGAUAAGAACUGGUUUGCAUUGACAAAAGUUCAUUCUGGAGAGGAGGGACAACAAAGGUCCAGAGCGAACAUGUGCAAAGCUGUUCAAAGGCUACUGGAAGAUCCAUGAGAGAAGCAAGAUGGCAGUGUGGAUGCAGGGAGUGGCCACAGAGAUGGAGGAAAUUUAGCAGGUUUCAGGAGUGAUUGAGGUAGAGGGUCAGGAUUUGCUGAAGGGAUUAGGAGGUCUCAGAGGAAUGUUUAGAUUUCUGGAUGCACAAAUAUCUUCAUGUUGGGGGCGUUGCCUGAAACAAGAGACAAUGCAAGUUGCUUUGGCGAGCUCAAGAGAGAGGUUUGGGCCAGAGGAAUUAGUAUGAAAAACAGAGGAUAUGUCAAUUGAUUUUAUUUCAGUAGAGCAUUUUUCUAAAGCUUCUGGUUAUCCCCGUUUUUC